rnacentral:rRNA from 1 species
UACGUAGGUGGCAAGCGUUGUCCGGAUUUACUGGGCGUAAAGAGCGCGCAGGCGGCUGGCCAAGUCCGAUGUGAAAGCUCCCGGCUUAACUGGGAAACUGCAUCGGAAACUGGUCGGCUUGAAGGUGGGAGAGGGUAGCGGAAUUCCCGGUGUAGUGGUGAAAUGCGUAGAUAUCGGGAGGAACACCUGUGGCGAAAGCGGCUCACUGGACCACAACUGACGCUGAGGCGCGAAAGCU